rnacentral:rRNA from 1 species
UACGGAGGGUGCAAGCGUUGUCCGGAUUUAUUGGGUUUAAAGGGUGCGUAGGCGGCCCGUUAAGUCAGUGGUGAAAGCCUCCAGCUCAACUGGAGAACUGCCAUUGAUACUAUUUGUCUUGAAUACUGUGGAGGUCAGCGGAAUAUGUCAUGUAGCGGUGAAAUGCUUAGAUAUGACAUAGAACACCAAUUGCGAAGGCAGCUGGCUACACAAAUAUUGACACUGAGGCACGAAAGCGUGGGGAGCAAACAGG